CGGAAUUGCUAGCAAUGGCAGGUCAGCAUACUGCCGUGAAUACGUUCCCGGGCCUUGUACACACCGCCCGUCACACCCAUGAGAGUUGGAGAUACCCGAAGCCUAUGAGCUAACUUUAGAGGCAGUAGUCGAAGGUAGAAUCAAUGAUUGGGGUGAAGUCGUAACAAGGUAAC
rnacentral:rRNA from 1 species